GGAUGGAUGUCUGAGCGGUUGAAAGAGUCGGUCUUGAAAACCGAAGUAUUGAUAGGAAUAUCGGGGGUUCGAAUCCCUCUCCAUCCG
rnacentral:tRNA from 2 species